GGCUAUGGAACUGAACCAGAAAAUGUAAUAUUGGACGAACUUGCUAGACAACUUGUUCUGGGUGGGACUCAAGUCAAGAAGCACACCAAAUGCGGCAAAGGAGCUCCACACUAUAAAGUAUUAAGGAUGGUAGGUGCUGUUGGGGUGUUGCGGUGGGGAAAGUCAAGCAAGAGAAAUGUGGUUUGCAGAGGUGCUGAGUUUGGCCCCAGCCCAAAGUUCCGGUGGAAUCGCCGGAGAAAACUUGAUGUUGAAGACCCUGGAAUGUUUCAUGUAAUCACUACAAAGAACAAGGAAGUGCAUUUUGUGUGUGAAGGUGGAGUUGAAACGGCUGAGUUGUGGGUAAGGGGAAUCAAGCUUGUGACAAGGGAAGCUAUCUUUGGAACAAAAACAGAGUGAUCUGUGAAUGGUGGAUGAAAAGCUUUUCAUGGUCUACCCCAAGAUGCUAUGAAAAUGCUAGCUGCUGUAAAUCUAUCAAAACUAUUUAUGAGAAAGUGGCUCAUUUAGCAAAUCGAGCGUAGUUUAUAGUAGCUUGCAAGUCUAAGAUAGUAUUUAAAUUUUUGUAAAAUUUUGAGCAUGAG
rnacentral:misc_RNA from 1 species